AGACCCAACUCGCACAUGUACACGCAUUUGGAAGCUUCCAAUUCACAGUUGAGAGUAUACUACGAAAAUGUCAAUAAAGAAGAUCCCGUUUACAACAACAUGGCGCUGAAGAAUCGGGUACAGACGGUGCUUUAAAUGAAAGGACGAUCUUACGUCAAUAUUUGGUGUAAAAAGCCUUGUCGCAAAUGGAUUAAGAUCCAUCAGUUGAAGAAAGGCCAUAUAAUUCUUGUAUUGGAUAAUAAAGCAAACAGAACUAACAUUAUGUCAGGAAACCUGAAAGUUACAUUUUUGUGGAAGUAUUUUAUUUCACAAACUUUGCGACAGACCGCCAGAAGAACAAACCAACCACUGUGCUUCAAGUAUACUUACUUUGUAUGCAGGUAUUUUAAUAAUAACAUAAACAAAUAUUUUUUUCGAAAUACAUAGAUGCAGCAAUGAUAUAUUACACUCUUUAGGAAAAAAAAAAUACGGGCAAGGGCUACACAACACAAAGCUUUAUUUUAAUUUUGAAUGCAUUGUUUAACAAGAUGUCAACAACAGUAUGUCGGGAAAGCAGUGUAUUUUAGAAUGCCGUAGGUUUUCUUUCAAUAUUGAAUGCCUUCUAUGGUUGAUAAACAAGCCGUAUUGCCUGUCUGUCUAUUAAAGUUAUUUAUGUCUAUGUCAAAUGUGUAAACAUGUGAAGUUCAAAUGUAUGAAUGAUUCGUAAAAAAGUAUACGUUGUA